AGCUCCGAGGUGUGUAACACGUGAGAUUGCAAAUCUCAAGUAGCAGAGUAACGCCUGCCGGGGCUU
rnacentral:tRNA from 1 species